ACUUUUUGAUCUCUUAUUUUCCGCCUAUCAAACGACCGGAAUUUUUGUGUCGUAGCAUACAAAUAUAUGUCUAGUAAGUAGUCAAUGGACUCGUUCGUUAUUUGAAAGAUUUUUUACUGUCUUCGGUCACAAUUUUUCUCGGGCAAAAUAUUUAAGGUGUUCCAGGAGUGACGACAAUGGAAUUAAAUUUCGAAGAUAUUGAAACAUCGCACUGGAAAAUUGAUUAUAUUUAAAUGGUAAGAUAUAUUUUAAAUGCAAUGAACUAUGAAAUUACGUGAAAAUUAAUUCUUGUAAUACGUGACGAUGGUAUUUAUUGUUGUAGCCAACGAUUUUUCCAUUCAUCAGACGGGAUAGAGAGUGAAUUGCUACUAAAAGGAAAAUUUUGAAGUCUAUAUUUCCGAACCAGGAACUAACAAAGAUCACGGCUGGAUUCGAGUGUUGAGAUGAUACUGAAGUUAGCAGGGUCAUGUGUUGAGUCGUCACUGAAACUUCAUCCAAUUAUUUUUUAAUAAUUAUUUACAAUGAAGAUGAUAAUUAAGUUGGAGUGAAGAUUUCGAUGAUGUGUUGAUUUCAAAACUCACAGUAAAAACGAUUGCUUCCGGAUGAAAUGAGUCUUGCAGAUAAUUUAGAAUUACAACCGCCGAGAAACUGAAAGAAUUGUCUGCUGGUCUGGACGUUUCUCGGUGUGGUGAGCCAAGUUUUUUUAUAGUAUUUAAAAUUUUUUAUGGUAUUACAAUUUAAAUAGUGU